CAAUAGCGUAUAUUAAAGUUGUUGCAGUUAAAAAGCUCGUAGUUGGAUUUCUGGUGGGAGCGAUCGGUCUGGCGCUUAGCGCGAGUACUUGCAUCGUCACCGGCCAUCCUUGGGGAGAGUCUGUCUGGCAUUAGGUUGUCGGGCAGAGGAUCCUCAUCGUUUACUGUGAAAAAAUUAGAGUGUUCAAAGCAGGCUUAUGCCGUUGAAUAUAUUAGCAUGGAAUAAUAAGAUAGGACUUUGGUACUAUUUUGUUGGUUUGCGCACCAAAGUAAUGAUUAAUAGGGACAGUUGGGGGUAUUCGUAUUCCGUUGUCAGAGGUGAAAUUCUUGGAUUUACGGAAGACGAACUACUGCGAAAGCAUUUACCAAGGAUGUUUUCAUUAA
rnacentral:rRNA from 1 species